rnacentral:tRNA from 1 species
CGGGCAGUGGCGCAGUCUGGUAGCGCGUUUGACUGGGGGUCAAAAGGUCGCAGGUUCAAAUCCUGUCGGCCCGA